UGUAAGCGUAUACCAAAGUUGUUGCAGUUAAAACGCUCGUAGUCGGAUUUUGGCGGUUCCGGAAGUGUGCCGCGUCGUGCGGCCGCUUUGCAGGGACUGCUUUUGUGGGUGUGCGUCAGAUGAGGGCUGUUAAUUCGGUAACGUCUGUACGCAACCACUUUUUACUGUGAGAAAAUCAGAGUGCUCAAAGCAGGCAUUGCCGUGAAUGUAUUAGCAUGGAAUAAUAGAAUAGGACUUAGUCUUAUUUUGUUGGUUUGUUAGGACCGAGUAAUGAUUAAGAGGGACAGUUGGGGGCAUUUGUAUUUCGGCGCUAGAGGUGAAAUUCUUAGAUUGCCGAAAGACAAACUGCUGCGAAAGCGUCUGCCAAGGAUGUUUUCAUUGA
rnacentral:rRNA from 1 species